GUCAAUCACUAGAAGCAAUUUUCACGAGCUAGCACUCUAGGAGAUAGUAGAUCAGAACCGAGCUUCAUAUGGACAUUUCGUAGAGCUCGGACAUUAUGUUGAAGGGAGAGAAAUUUGCUUCUCAUGGAUAACCAGGGUAGCAUCUAAAAAUUUUUCUAUACACUCAACUAAAUAAAGAUUAAAUCUUUACCUGGAUGGUGGAAUAGGGAUCAAAUCUCUGAAAUCUAGAUUUAACCUUCUCAUAGCCUGGAACUGCAGGCCCUCUACUUCGCAUGCAUUUCAGGCAAUGCAGGAAAGUGAGAAAAAUCUCAAGAUUGAUGCACCUUCGGAAGGCCACCAA
rnacentral:lncRNA from 1 species